UUCUAGGGACCCUGGUUAAGGAGCAUACUCUGAACUCUGGGUAUUUUCCUUCCAGUAGUGAUAAUAAUAGUCUCCCUGAUGCACUGUAUUCUCUCAAAGGUUUUAAAUGCUUGCAUGCAGCCAUCUCUAGAACAUCAAAUGGUCUCUCUUCAACUGGAAUGACAACAGCUGAAAGAAAUGUUCAACCAUGAGGACACCAUACCUAUAAAUGAUGUGCUGAGACUGGAAACCCAAAAUGUUGGUAACUGAGAAGUGGCGCUAAGGCCCUAAGUUUUGGUCGCACACUCACCUAAGUGAGAACCUGACCAAAAAGGGGGAAUUUUUAAAACAAAACUCUGUGAGGCCAUUGUUUUGGACUAAGCUCAUGCACUCAUGCCCUGGGCCCCAGCAGACCAAACCAAACACAGAUGGAGUCAUUUGUGCUAAGACUUUAAGGAAACACAUGGAUUCUACAACAGACUAGCUUUUGUUUUUUUCUUCUGCAAAUCUCUAUAACAAACAUUUCUGACAACAUAGGUAUCCACCCCCUGAAGUUCCCAUUAAAUCUUUUAACCAAAUUCAUUUCCUCUCACCUAGAGACCAUCAAACUUCAGAUGAUGAUGCAACAAAGGUUUCAGCCAGUUCCAGGUGAAGACACCACCCUUGGACAUCAAGAAGCUACCCUGCCUCCACCAGAUAGAGCAGGGAGAGUUCUGUGAUCUCCGAUAGGGCCUUUGUAGACGCUAUCCCUUUGUGGAGAAGACUCUCCUCAACACCCUUCAAAUACUAUGAUCUCAUCAGGAAGGCCCUCCCUGACCACCUAUGUCUGAUGCAUGCUUGGGCUGGCUGGAUAACCAGGAAGCAAGAGAAGCACAGUUGUCCUCUCACUGAUGGAGAGAUACUGCAGAGAGCUGGUCCUGGGAGAUCCAGAGCCUACCGUGAACUCCUCUGCUACAGACCUCGCUCCAGGACUCCAUCCAUACCACACCCAUCCACACACAGCCUGGGAGUAUUCUCUCUUGAAUAACUCAGGCUCUCUGAAGUCUUAGGUCCAGGGUGUUGGACUGAUAGGAACGUAUCCCAGGGGACUUUCUAACAGACAGUCGGAAAGUGGGACCUGGCAUUAGAUUGAAGUGGCAGCCUCUCUCAGACGGGUGGGAGGCUGACUUCAAGACAGGGGAGCAAGGAUAGAAACUGGUGCUUCUCCUAGAUAAUGUUUUCCUUGUUAUGCUGUUGUUUUCCUUUGGACUGUGGGAAUAGUCUUACUUAGUACUCAAUGUAAAAUAUUUUCUCUCAUCUUAUAAAUCCUGUCAGCUACCCCCAGUCCUCUAACCUAGUCUGUUAUAUGCAUAUCAUCUUGUGGGGAAUUAAGAGACAGGACAAGAAAGACAUGUGACUUUUUGCACUUCCCUCUUCCACCAAGUUUAUUACAAUAGCAGCAGCAGCAGCUUUCCAUUGAGGAGAAGGGUGGCUGGAUUCAGACUGGAGCAGGAAAGUAGGUCCCAGUGGGGAUUUUGAGCUGUGCGGGGGAUGCUCAGCUUGGAGCAACUGCAGUUACAAGGGCAGUGGCCGAGAGGUGAGACCCCUGUCCUCUGCAAAUACAUAAGCACAAUAUAUGCGAUCCUUCCUCUGCCAGUUUCCCCGCUGAUCAUCAGCAUCACCUGAAGUCCUUGUUAAAAAUAUCCAGAAGUACUCUGGCUCCACUCCUGAAGGUCUGGGGUGUGGCGUGGGAUUCUCUAUAUUGUCAAAGCACCCAGAUCGUUCUUCUCAUCUGGGAAAUGUGGGACUCACUGUCGCAGAAGGAGGUGAUCCUUGCAGGGCUGGGGAGAGGCUGACAUUUGGGUCACACAUUACUGACCCUGCUUCAGACAGAACGUACAGAAAAGGAGUGAUAUAUUUAUAUGUAAAUAUAUGUCUAUACAUCUC